rnacentral:rRNA from 1 species
UACAGGGGGUGCUAGCGUUGUUCGGAAUCAUUGGGCGUAAAGGGCGUGUAGGCGGCCCGGUAAGUCCGCUGUGAAAGUCGGGGGCUCAACCCUCGGAUGCCGGUGGAUACUGUCGGGCUCGAGUACGGAAGAGGCGAGUGGAAUUCCUGGUGUAGCGGUGAAAUGCGCAGAUAUCAGGAGGAACACCAAUUGCGAAGGCAGCUCGCUGGGACGUUACUGACGCUGAGACGCGAAAGCGUGGGGAGCAAACAGG